UCAUAUCCUUUUCCACUGAAGACAAAAGUCAGAUGUUAGUGGGUUUUUUGUAAAGUGUGAAAUGGGCUUAAAUUGGGAGAUGUGUGGUGCAGCAAGACCUUGCACUGUCCCCCAGGAUGAGAUGCCCACAGCUGGAUUGAAGGGGGGUGCAGGAACACAAGACUCUGCAGAAUGGAUUCUGAUACUGAUGAUGAGAACACCUUCAUAGGCAUUCAUGUUGGAAUCCUCUGCCUUCAACAAGAUAUGGCCAAAAGCCUGACCUCUCCUCACCUGAACCCAUCAAAAGCAGAGAUCGUCUUGGAAGACAGUGUUGUAUUUAGGGCAAUGUACCUCCAAUGAACUGCACCUGGAGUAGCCAGAGUGCAUCAAAAACAUUUUAACUUUUUUCAGUGCAUGAGGCUGAACCUUGGUAGAGGUUACCUGAUACCCAAAAUUCAAAAUCUAUAAAAUCAACUUCCAAGUGCAGGACAAGCCUGCUCUGACAUGAAAUAUAAAGGUAAUAUUUUAGGAUGAUACACUCAAUGUUUUGUAUGAAUAUGUCAACAAAAAAUUGUGUUUUAUUGCUGUUAUGUUAUUGUAAAUAAAAUUUUGAUACAUGCACUGUAUUGUGUUUAUUAGUAAAGAAGACACAUGAUGAGUUUUCUCAACUUAAA